rnacentral:tRNA from 1 species
GUAAUGGUGGUUCAGUGGUAGAAUUCUCCCCUGCCAUGUGAGAGUGCUGGAUUCGAUUCCCAACCAAUGUA